rnacentral:lncRNA from 1 species
GAAUAAGGCUUGGCCCGGUAGGAACUACAUUUGUCACUGAGUUUCAUCGGUGCAGAAAAGGAGCUCUGGCAACUUCUGCUGAGACUUUUCCAUAGGAAAUCCUUCCAAAAAAAAAGCAACAGCUAUUUUGAAGACCAACUUUCCAAAAAUUGUAUUCAGGUAAGUUAAAUUUUAGAUGUUAUCCCUUAUAGCUAAAAGUGAACACAUUUGACUUAAUCAUGUUAAUCAAAAAUGUAUUUGCAUUCAAGUGUUCUUAUAUAUCAGUACUCUUGGAUG